rnacentral:tRNA from 1 species
UUAAUUAAAACCAAAUAGAGGUAAAUUAUUGUUAAUAAUUUAAUUGAAUACAAAUUCUAAUUAAA